rnacentral:rRNA from 1 species
GACGAACGCUGGCGGCGUGCCUAAUACAUGCAAGUAGAACGCACAGUUUAUACCGUAGCUUGCUACACCAUAGACUGUGAGUUGCGAACGGGUGAGUAACGCGUAGGUAACCUGCCUGGUAGCGGGGGAUAACUAUUGGAAACGAUAGCUGAUACCGCAUAAUAUUGAUUAUUGCAUGAUAAUUGAUUGAAAGAUGCUAUUGCAUCACUACCAGAUGGACCUGCGUUGUAUUAGCUAGUAGGUGAGGUAACGGCUCACCUAGGCGACGAUACAUAGCCGACCUGAGAGGGUGAUCGGCCACACUGGGACUGAGACACGGCCCAGACUCCUACGGGAGGCAGCAGUAGGGAAUCUUCGGCAAUGGACGAAAGUCUGACCGAGCAACGCCGCGUGAGUGAAGAAGGUUUUCGGAUCGUAAAGCUCUGUUGUAAGAGAAGAACGGGUGUGAGAGUGGAAAGUUCACACUGUGACGGUAUCUUACCAGAAAGGGACGGCUAACUUCGUG